rnacentral:misc_RNA from 1 species
AAGUCGUAACAAGGUAACCGUAGGUGAACCUGCGGUUGGAUCAUUAAAAAUUCUGAUAGCCUCUCAUUGCGCGAAAGCAAUGAAUGUUGGCACCACAUUUUGUGCACUGUAACGUCUUUGGUGGUUGGGCGGUUUGUCUUUUUUUUUGACACUCUCGUCUGUCAGCUUGGGUUUAUAAUAAUCCUCGCCGUGGACACGCCACCGUUUGUCUUUCAACCUAUGUUUUCAUGAAUUGUCUGACAAAUACUUGUAUUGAAAAUAUACAAACAACUUUUGGCAACGGAUCUCUUGGUUCUC